ACGGAGGGUGCAAGCGUUGCUCGGAAUUAUUGGGCGUAAAGGGUAGGUAGGUGGUCUCAUUUGUCUGGGGUGAAAGCCUUGAGCUUAACUCAAGAAGUGCCCCAGAAACGGUGAGACUGGAGUCCUGGAGAGGGUCGUGGAGUUCCCGGUGUAGCGGUGAAAUGCGUAGAGAUCGGGAGGAACACCAGAGGCGAAAGCGGCGACCUGGACAGGUACUGACACUCAACUACGAAAGCGUGGGGAGCAAACAGGA
rnacentral:rRNA from 1 species